UACGUAGGGGGCAAGCGUUGUCCGGAUUUACUGGGCGUAAAGAGCGUGUAGGCGGCCAAACAGGUCCGUUGUGAAAACUGGAGGCUCAACCUCCAGACGUCGACGGAAACCGAAUGGCUAGAGUCCGGAAGAGGAGAGUGGAAUUCCUGGUGUAGCGGUGAAAUGCGCAGAUAUCAGGAAGAACACCAAUGGCGAAGGCAGCUCUCUGGGACGGUACUGACGCUGAGACGCGAAAGCGUGGGGAGCGAACAGG
rnacentral:rRNA from 1 species